rnacentral:piRNA from 1 species
UAUGUGCUCCAAAGGGAAUUCUUUUAGUUU